rnacentral:piRNA from 1 species
UCCACACUGGUGUGCAUGUGACAAGACCC